rnacentral:rRNA from 1 species
GACGAACGCUGGCGGCGUGCUUAACACAUGCAAGUCGAACGGAAAGGCCCUGCUUGCAGGGUACUCGAGUGGCGAACGGGUGAGUAACACGUGGGUGAUCUGCCCUGCACUUCGGGAUAAGCCUGGGAAACUGGGUCUAAUACCGGAUAGUAGACAUUUUUAGUGUGAUGGUUGGAAAGUUUUUUCGGUGUAGGAUGAGCUCGCGGGCUAUCAGCUUGUUGGUGGUGUAAUGGCCUACCAAGUCGGCGACGGGUAGCCGGCCUGAGAGGGUGGACGGCCACAUUGGGACUGAGAUACGGCCCAGAUUCCGACGGGAGGCAGCAGGGGGGAAGAUUGAACAAUGGGCGCAAGCCUGAUGAAGCGACGCCGCGGGGGGGAUGACGGCCUUCGGGUUGGAAACCCCUUUCGCUAGGGACGAAGCUUUUUGUGACGGUACCUAGAGAAGAAGCACCGGCUAACUACGUG